GGGCGUCACCACACCCUCUGCUUUCGCACCAUGUCUGCUGUGACCCCCGCCUCUCUCUCACAGGGGCCCUUGUAAUGCCAUUGGGUUCACCUGCAUGAUCCCAGGGAGUCUCCCAUCGCAGGACCCUCGGUCACACUGGCAAUGUCCCUUUUACCAUGAAAAGUAGCCCAUUCACAGUCCCGGGAUUAGCAUGUGGGCCUUUUGGGGGGCACCAUUCUACACACUGUGGAGCGUGUGCAGGAGCGACCAGACCUCAGGGGGGCUCUCAAAUUGACCUCAUCCCCAGCACAAAGUCCAGGAGGAAUGGAGUGAGGUGUCCAGGAUGCUGGAGCCUGGUGGGGGCUGGACAGGGACUCUGCUCAGUCACCCAGCCCCAAUGUGAGGGGCCCACGGCUGUGGGUGCAGGAGCCGCAAGGGAGAAGUCAUGGCCCCAUUGACUUUCCUUCCCCAAACUCGGAUCCCCUGAAACAGAGAGGUGAGGCUCAGGGGCGAAGGGCGAGCAACUUCUGCAAUAAGAUUUCCAUGAUGCCUGAUAAUGUCUGUGAGAGAAAGGCUAUGUCUUUCUUUAUUUUUAUUUAUUUUUUGAGACAGAGUCUUGCUCUGUCACCCAGGCUGGAGUGCAGUGGCUUGAUCAUAGCCCACUGCAGCCUCAACUUCCCAGCCUCAAGCAAUCCUCUCUCCUAGGCCUCCCAAGUAGCUGGGACUACAGGCAUGUGUCUUGGGAGGCAAUUUUUUUUUUUUUUUUUUUUUUUUUUUUUUUUUUUUUUUAGAGACGAGGGUCUCGCCAUAUUGCCCAGGCCUGGCAGGUGUUUCUGAUAGUCACAAAGCCCUUGCUACUGGGGAAAGAGAAAGGAAGCCCUAGCUGAGACCCAAUUAAGAAAAUCCCAGAACCAAGAACGAAUUGACUGUUUGGCUUUGGUAAUC
rnacentral:lncRNA from 1 species